rnacentral:tRNA from 1 species
GGAAGAUUGGGCGAGUGGUUUAAGCCGACAACCUGCUAAGUUGUGACUCAGAAAUGGGUUCUCUGGUUCGAAUCCAGAAUCUUCUA